rnacentral:lncRNA from 1 species
UUCUCCAGCCCCGUGUGGACCCAGAGCCAGGCUGCAAAAGUCAGGAUCACCAGGGACUGCGGUUUGGAAGGUGAAGGUGUGAAAAGAUGCCCAAGUAGCUGCGUGGAAGCUUCCUGGAAUGUCAGCAGAGUGACAGCAGCCGUUUAGCACAAGCUCCCAUUGUCUGCACUGCCCCACAAGAUAAGAAUUUGCCAAAAAGGACUUUAGGCUCUGCACUGGGACCUCCAGCAGGCUGGGGCCAGGCUGGGCAGUCUGCAGCCCCUCUCCCCACCUUAGGUGGUGAGGCUUCUCUGAUCCUCAGCCCACUGGCCAGGUAAACUGUGCUCCCGAAGAACAAAACGUAGCCUUGUAGAGUCAUUCUAAUGCGAGGAGAAAAUAGGAUUAGGCCAGAGUGUCAGCCAGGAAGCAAGGAUGCCUCCUGCCUACAUUUGGGUCUUGGAUUGACUCACUACAUCACAGGACUGCUGGGCUCCAGGAUGCGAAGAUCCAGCCACAACUGGCACCAGAGAACAAGAGAAGCUUCCUUUCCAUCUCUGGUGGCCUGCUCACCAAAGACCCUCUGGUCCCGUCAACUUGGUGUUAACUCUUGGGUGUAAAUGCCUUUGAGAAAAUACCCACUGCACCUCCUACAGUGAAUCCCACUGCUCACACAGGGUUUGUAUGAAGUCUGCCCUUUAUGGGCCAUCUACACAUCUCCUGUAUAAGAUACAGAAGGAAUAUUGGAGAUUGCGGAGGACGUGACACUUGACCCUGCAACCCGAACCCCGCAGGGGCAGCCGCCGCCUUGCAAAGUAGCAGUCCCCGAGCAGCGCCGCGCGGCGGUGGCCGGCCAAGCCCUCCGGGAGCUCUCCGGGUCCCCUUCCUCGCCCCCACCCCCGCCUUGCUCGCAGCUUGCCUCUGUCGACCCCUUCCCGCAGCCGCGUUUCAAUCAAACUCACUGAGACGGCACCGAGCGGGCGCCGGGGACAAGAAACGCCUCGCCAGCGACAACGCGCGAACAAGCGGAGCCGCGGGCCCCGGCGCCUCCGCCCACACGCGCCCCGCGUGCUGAAACCCGCACCUGGCCCACGGGUAGCCGGAAAAGCCGGGUCCCGGCCCGCCCGCCGGGCCGCCCCUGCUCCCGCUCCCCCAGCUCCAAGCGCUGCGGCUCAGAAACCCACCCGCCCGGCCCAGCCCCCGCCGGAGCCCUGCACCUUGGGGAGCCGGAGGCUGGGGAGGGGACCAGAGAAGGGGAAGAAGGGGCAUCGCCCUUCUUCCUACCCUGGGACAGCGCCUGGACUGGAGCUGGGUGCCGAGGAAACGACGGGAAGAGCUGACAGAGAGGCGGAGGGAGAAAAGAAAGGAAAAGAGGCAGAGACGAGGAAGGGAAGAAAGGGAUCCGAAGUGACCCGCCCUCGGGCCUCCGCGCCGGUGAUGCCCCGCGCCCAGGGCGAGGCCGUGCUUCGCGGGCAUGAGAAGCCAGGAGGCAGCGGAGUGCGGGUCUGGGGCACCGGGGACAUUGCCAAACAUAAUUGGGGUGCCAAACUGGGCUUCUUAAUCUCGAAGCCAGGAUGGGCGGGUGUGGCCGGGGGUGCGCGGGGUCAGCCAGCUUGGGGUGCUUUCCUUCGGGGCUCACACCGGCAGCGCGGACCGGCCGAGGCCGCUGGGACUGCAAGUCCGCCGCCUGCUUUUGUUCUGGGUUCUGCUGUAAUUUAACAUAAAACGCCUGUUAGAAUCACUGCUGCCGAAACACGCGUUUCUCCUUGUUUUGCCACCAACUAACAGGAUUAGGCAACAAGAGCGAGAUUUCAAAUUAACCAUAAAAAUGACAAAUUGCAAUUCAUUUAGCUGCCCACUUACUACAUUAAAAAACAUAAAUAAAUGAAUCUGCGUAUUCAGAGGGUUGAACGGCCCGCAAGGAAGCGAAAGCGGUUGAACUCAGGCCUCCGGGUGGGAGUCAGGGCUGUGGCGCUGGCGAGAGCGGGCCGCCGCGGAAUUCGCACCGUCUUCCAAGGGCCCGGAAAGAGGC